rnacentral:tRNA from 1 species
GCGGGUGUAGUUCAGCGGUAGAACGUUUCCUUGCCAAGGAAAAGGUCACGAGUUCGAAUCUCGUCACCCGCUCAA